UGAUGGCCUACCAAGGCGACGACGGGUAGCCGGCCUGAGAGGGUGAUCGGCCACAUUGGGACUGAGAUACGGCCCAGACUCCUACGGGAGGCAGCAGUGGGGAAUAUUGCACAAUGGGCGGAGGCCUGAUGCAGCGACGCCGCGUGAGGGAUGACGGCCUUCGGGUUGUAAACCUCUUUCAGCAGGGACGAAGCGUAACUGACGGUACCUGCAGAAGAAGGCCCGGCCAACUACGUGCCAGCAGCCGCGGUAAUACGUAGGGGCCAAGCGUUGUCCGGAAUCAUUGGGCGUAAAGAGCUCGUAGGCGGUUUGGUAAGUCGGAUGUGAAAUCUCCACGCUCAACGUAGAGCGGCCAUUCGAUACUGCCAUGACUUGAGUCCGGUAGAGGAGUGUGGAAUUCCCAGUGUAGCGGUGAAAUGCGCAGAUAUUGGGAGGAACACCAGUAGCGAAGGCGACACUCUGGGCCGGUACUGACGCUGAGGAGCGAAAGCGUGGGGAGCGAACAGGAUUAGAUACCCUGGUAGUCCACGCCGUAAACGUUGGGCACUAGGUGUGGGGCUCUAUCGACGAGUUCCGUGCCGUAGCUAACGCAUUAAGUGCCCCGCCUGGGGAGUACGGAA
rnacentral:rRNA from 1 species